ensembl:lncRNA
GAUAACCAGUCUAGUACAGCUACAUUAGAGAGGAGUGGGGACCAGUCUAGUACAGCUACAUUAGAGAGGAGGAGGGAGAACCAGUCUAGUACAGCUACAUUAGAGAGGAGGAGGGACAACCAAUCUAGUACAGCUACAUUAGAGAGGAGAAGGAGUGAGAACCAGUCUAGUACAUCUACAUUAGAGAGGAGGAGGAGGGAGAGCCAGUCUAGUAAAGCAACAUUAGAGAGGAGGAGAAGGGAGAACCAGUCUAGUAUAGCUACAUUAGAGAGGAGGAUUAGGGAGAACCUGUAUAGUAUAGCUACAUUAAAGAGGAGGACGAGCGAGAACCAGUCUAUUAUAGAUACAUUAGAGAGCAGGAGGAGGGAGAACCAAUCUAGUACAGCUUCAUUAGAGAGGAGGAGGAGAGAGAACCAGUCUAGUACAGCUACAUUAGAGAGGAGGAGGAGGAGGGAGAACCAGUCUAGUAUAGCAACAUAAUAGAGGAGGAGGGACAACCAGUCUAGUAGAGCUACAUUAGAGAGGAGGAGGAGGGACAACCAGUCUAGUAUAGAUACAUUAGUGAGGAGGAUGGAGAACCAGUCAUGUACAGCUAUAUUAGAGAGGAGAAGAGAGAACCAGUCUAGUAUAGCUACAUUAGAGAGGAGGAAGAGGGAGAACCAGUCUAGUAUAGCUACAUUAGAGAGGAGGAGGAAGGAGAACCAUUCUAGUACAGCUACAUUAAAGAGGAGGAGGAGGGAGAACCAGUCUAUGAUAGAUACAUUAGAGAGGAGGAGGGAAAACCAGUCUAGUAUAGAUACAUUAGAGAGGAGGAGGAGGGAGAACCAGUCUAGUAUAGCCACAUUAGAGAGGAGGAGGAGGGAAAACCAGUCUAGUAUAGAUAUAUUAGAGAGGAGGAGGGAGAACCUGUAUAGUACAUCUACAUUAAAGAGGAGGACGAGCGAGAACCAGUCUAUUAUAGACACAUUAGAGAGGAGGAGGGAGAACCGAUCCAGUACAGCUACAUUAGAGAGGAGGAGGAGAGAUAACCAGUCUAGUACAGCUACAUUAGAGAGGAGGAGUGAGAACCAGUCUAGUACAGCUACAUCAGAGAGGAGGAGGAGGGACAGCCAGUCUAGUAAAGCAACAUUAGAAAGGAGGAGAAGGGAGAACCAGUCUAGUAUAGCUACAUUAGAGAGGAGGAGGAGGGAGAACCUGUAUAGUAUAGCUACAUUAGAGAGGAGGAGGAGGGAGAACCAGUCUAGUAUAGCUACAUUAGAGAGGAGGAGGGAUAACCAGUCUAGUACAGCUACAUUAGAGAGGAGGAGGAGGAGGGAGAACCAGUCUACUAUAGCUACAUUAAAGAGGAGGAGGGAGAACCAGUCUAGUAUAGAUACAUUAGAGAGGAGGAGGGAUAACCAGUCUAGUAUAGACACAUUAGAGAGGAGGAGGAGGGAGAACCAGUCUACUAUAGCUACAUUAGAGAGGAGGAGGAGGGAAAACUAGUCUAGUAUAGAUACAUUAGAGAGGAGGAGGGAGAACCUGUAUAGUACAGCUACAUUAAAGAGGAGGACGAGCGAGAACCAGUCUAUUAUAGACACAUUAGAGAGGAGGAGCGAGAACCGAUCCAGUACAGCUACAUUAGAGAGGAGGAGGAGAGAUAACCAGUCUAGUACAGCUACAUUAGAGAGGAGGAGGAGGAGGAGGGAGAACCAGUCUACCAUAGCUAAAUUAAAGAGGAGGAGGGAGAACCAGUCUAGUAGAGCUACAUUAGAGAGGAGGAGGACGGAGAACCAGUCUAGUACAGCAACAUAAUAGAGGAGGGACAACCAGUCUAGUAGAGCUACAUUAGAGAGGAGGAGGGAGAACAAGUCUAGUACAGCUGUAUUAGAGUGGAGGAGGAGGGAGAAACAGUCUAGUACAGCUACAUUAGAGAGGAGGAGGAGGGAGAACCAGUCUAGCAUAGCUAAAUUAGUGAGGAGGAGGGACAACCAGUCUAGUGUAUAUACAUUAGAGAGGAGGAGGAGGGACAACCAGUAUAGUAUAGAUACAUUAGAGAGGAGGAUGGAGAACCAGUCAUGUACAGCUAUAUUAGAGAGGAGGAGAGAGAAGCAGUCUAGUAUAGCUACAUUAGAGAGGAGGAGGAUGGAGAACCAGUCUAGUAUAGCUACAUUAGAGAGGAGGAGGACGGAGAACCAGUAUAGUAUAGCUACAUUAGAGAGGAGGAGGAGGGAGAACCAGUCUAGUAUAGCUACAUUAGAAAGGAGGAGUAGGGAGAACCAGUCUAGUACAGCUACAUUAGAGAGGAGGAGGAGGGAGAACCAGUCGAGUAUAGCUACAUUAGAGAGGAGGAGGAGGGAAAACCAGUCUAGUAUAGAUACAUUAGAGAGGAGGAGGAGGGAGAACCAGUCUAGUAUAGAUACA